rnacentral:rRNA from 1 species
AUGGCUUUCAACCCAAACCCUCCAGGCCUCGGCUUCCCCUUCCCCUUCUUCCCUCCACCCAACACCUACGCUCCUCCAAACCCUUUCGGUCCAAGGCCGCCACCAAGCCCUUUCGGUCCAAGGCCACCGCCACGCCCUCAAGCACCACCACCUCCACGACAGCCUGCGCCACCCGUUCAACCCCCGCCGCGCCCUCAAGCCCCACCACCACCACGGCAGCCUGCGCCACCCAUUCGACCCCCGCCGCCUCCACGCCGUGCUCCCCCACCACCAACCCAGCCUCCUCCUCCGCGCCGUGCUCCACCUCCGCCAACUCAGCCCCCACCUCCGCCCCGGCGUGCGCCACCACCACCUCCGCCACCUCGCCGUGCUCCACCCCCACCAUCACCGCCCAUUCGCCCACCUCCACCACGCCCACUAGCCCCACCUCCGCCACAUAUCAGCCCGCCAACACCUCCACCUAGCCCUCCACACCACAUGGUCAUCAUCGUGGUGUUCGUCUCCCUAGGCGGGCUCCUCCUGCUUGCAUGCCUAGCUGCCUUCUGCUUGCACAAGAAAAAGAAGAGGAAGACAGAAAGGAAGGCAGAGGUAUUGAACUUCAGCGACCAUGUCCAUGUCCACAAAUCGGCCAUGUCGGGCCCUGGGGGAUCCAAGGCCGUCAGGCUGACAGUUGACGAGGACGUCAAGUUCCAAGAGGCGGUUAAGGAAUCAGAGGCCGUCGGCAAAGAGUCAGGCACAGCCACAGCAGGAAACCACAGCGCCUGGAUGUGGAACAAGAAACAGAAGAGCAAAGCAAAGCAGGAUUCAGAGGUCAUCAACGUCACCGGACACAUCCAUGUUGAUGAGAAGAUCGAGUCAGGGCCCCACGGCGAGAAGAUCGAGGUCCUUUCAGAAGAUGAAGAUAUCAGGUUUGAAGAGGCAGACAACAAAGAAGAAUCGUCUGCAAAAUCAAAGGGACGCAUUACCAAGUUCUAA